UACCUUUGUUUGCCUGCGACGCAACCAACUUACUUUUGUUUUCAAUUUGCGCUUUUACCUUUUCAUGGAGUGACUUAAUCAAUUCCGCCUUCUUUUUGCCAUCUAAACUACCACGUUCAUUCACAGGUAAAGGAAUUAAAUCCAAAGGAGUUAGUGGAUUAAAACCAUAUACAAUUUCAAAUGGAGAAUAUGAUGUAGUAGAGUGAACAGC
rnacentral:lncRNA from 1 species